rfam:Dipodomys ordii contig_75193, whole genome shotgun sequence.
GGGAAAGUAGCUCAGUGGUAGAAGUGCAUGCCUUGCAAGCAUGAGGCCCUGGGUUCGAUUCCUCAGCACCA